rnacentral:rRNA from 1 species
UACGUAGGGUGCGAGCGUUGUCCGGAAUUAUUGGGCGUAAAGAGCUUGUAGGCGGUUUGUCGCGUCUGCCGUGAAAGCCCAGGGCUUAACCCCGGGUCUGCGGUGGGUACGGGCAGACUAGAGUGUGGUAGGGGAGACUGGAAUUCCUGGUGUAGCGGUGAAAUGCGCAGAUAUCAGGAGGAACACCGGUGGCGAAGGCGGGUCUCUGGGCAACUACUGACGCUGAGGAGCGAAAGCGUGGGGAGCGAACAGG